rnacentral:rRNA from 1 species
AACGCGAAGAACCUUACCUGGGCUUGACAUGUGGGUGACCGGCGUGGAAACACGUCCUCCCUUCGGGGCACCUUCACAGGUGGUGCAUGGCUGUCGUCAGCUCGUGUCGUGAGAUGUUGGGUUAAGUCCCGCAACGAGCGCAACCCCCGUCGCAUGUUGCCAGCAUUCAGUUGGGGACUCAUGUGAGACUGCCGGUGACAAACCGGAGGAAGGCGGGGAUGAGGUCAAGUCAUCAUGCCCCUUACGUCCAGGGCUACACACGUGCUACAUUGGCGCGUACAGAGGGCUGCGAUACCGCGAGGUGGAGCGAAUCCCUUAAAGCGCGUCUCGGUUCGGAUUGUAGGCUGAAACUCGCCUGCAUGAAGGCGGAGUUGCUAGUAAUCGCGGAUCAGCACUGCCGCGGUGAAUACGUUCCCGGGCCUUGUACACACCGACUGUAC